rnacentral:RNase_P_RNA from 1 species
GAAAGUCCGGGCUCCGCAGGGCAAGGAUAACGGGUAACACCCGCCGGGGGCGACCCUAGGACAAGUGCAACAGAGAUAUACCGCCGCAUCCUUCCUCACAAGGGAUCGGUGCGGUAAGGGUGGAAAGGCGAGGUAAGAGCUCACCCGAUGGCGUGUAAAAGCGCCCAUCGCUGUAAACUCUAUCCGGAGCAACGCCGUGGAGGGACAUACAGGCCGGCCCGGCCGUCCCGGGGAGGCGGCUAGAGCGCGUUGGCAACGGCGCGUCGAGAUAGAUGGCUGUCUUAAAAGACAGAACCCGGCUUACAGGCUUACUGCACCA